GCGGGCGUAGCUCAAUGGUAGAGCGUCAGCCUUCCAAGCUGAAUGU
rnacentral:tRNA from 1 species